UACAGAGGUCUCAAGCGUUGUUCGGAUUCAUUGGGCGUAAAGGGUGCGCAGGCGGCGCGGUAAGUCGGGUGUGAAAUCUCGGAGCUUAACUCCGAAACUGCAUUCGAUACUGCGGUGCUCGAGGACUGGAGAGGAGACUGGAAUUCAUGGUGUAGCAGUGAAAUGCGUAGAUAUCGAGAGGAACACCUGCGGCGAAGGCGGGUUGCUGGGCUGACACUGACGCUGAUGCGCGAAAGCCAGGGGAGCGAACGGG
rnacentral:rRNA from 1 species